ensembl:lncRNA
UCAACCUGUGUUCACUUGGAACGUGGGUGGUGUCUCCAGCUUACAGAAUCCAAGGAGGAAGUUACCUGUAAAUUUACAGAUCUGAGUAUGCUUUCCUGAAGGACACAAAGAGUGCUAAGCAGAUACACCUGCUCAGCUUCAAAGUCUGUCUUGAGGAAAUGAGAGAGACAUUAUGGUCACUGUCUGGAGUGAGCUUUUAAAAGGAAAAAGAAUGAGAUCAUUGUUUUCGUGCAACUCAGCCACACAUCUUUCUUGUUUAAUCUGCAUUCAUUCUUCCUGUUUUUCUUCUUUCUCCUCCUGGUUCCCUCCUUUCUCAGACGUUUAGGCCAGUCUAACUAGCUUUUAGUUGCUACUUAGUGAGGAAAACACAGAUACAUUACAAGGGAGCCUGUCCUCCAGGGACUUAGUUGCAUCAGAGCCGUGGAUCAAAAUGGCGGCCAGGGUCUUGGACGGAACCCGAGACAUGAGUUUGGAUCCUUCGCUGCUUAUCACCCGGGGAAGCCAAGAUGACCUAAGUCCUGUGACUGACCUUUAACCCAGCCUGUGAAAUGGGAGCCGAGAGGGAAUCUGUGAGGUCUCCCUGAGGGUGAAAGGAGAUGAGCCGUGAAGGCGCUGCGCACAUGGCAGAUCUAGAAGAUCUAGAGCACGGAAGACAACCACGCAACGGCCACGACAGAUGCUGAAAGUGGACAGAGCCUUCAAAGGAGGACCAGCGGGGGAGCAGGGAGAGCUCAAGGUCACGGUGUGUGCUGACGGACAGGGGAAGAGUUGUGGGACAACAAUGGAUCCAGUGCCAAGUUCCACACACCUGUUCUGGAUAAGGAAGACCCAGGACAGAGUACAGAGAGGAGGGUGGAGGAAGCCCAGG